rnacentral:rRNA from 1 species
UACGUAGGGGGCAAGCGUUGUCCGGAAUCAUUGGGCGUAAAGAGCGCGUAGGCGGUCCGGUAAGUCCGCUCUGAAAGUCCGGGGCUCAACCCCGGGAGGCGGGCGGAUACUGUCGGGCUAGAGUCCGGAAGAGGCGGAGUGAAUUCCUGGUGUAGCGGUGAAAUGCGCAGAUAUCAGGAGGAACACCGGUGGCGAAGGCGGGUCUCUGGGCCGAUAUUGACGCUGAGGAGCGAAAGCGUGGGAGCGAACAGG